rnacentral:other from 1 species
AGAGCCCUGCGAUGUACGUGAACCACCGAAAGUUUUGAGCCAACACCAUUACAAAAGGGAGCUCGGCGUCGUCUGGGGGAGCGGAAGCCUCCGGUGAGAGGACCCGUGAACUCAGGCGCAGGGCACCCACCUGCGAGAGAGCAGGUUCAAAACUAAGGGAGCCACGGCAUAAUGGGGCUCUU